rnacentral:rRNA from 1 species
AGCAGCCGCGGUAAUUCCAGCUCCAAUAGCGUAUAUUAAAGUUGUUGCAGUUAAAAAGCUCGUAGUUAAAUUUCGGGAUUAGUACGUUGGUCGUGCCUUCGGUACGUACUGGUGUUACUGAUUCCUACCUUCUGACGAACCACCAUGUCAUUUAUUUGGUGUGGCGGGGAAUCAGGACUGUUACUUUGAAAAAAUUAGAGUGUUUAAAGCAGGCUCGCGCUUGAAUACAUUAGCAUGGAAUAAUGAAAUAGGACGUUGACCCUAUUUUGUUGGUUUCUAGGAUUGACGUAAUGAUUAAUAGGGAUAGUUGGGGCAUUAGUAUUCAAUUGUCAGAGGUGAAAUUCUUGGAUUUAUUGAAGACUAACUACUGCGAAAGCAUUUGCCAAGG